AAAAAUGCAACGACCGAGAAGAGUAGUUGUGACACACAUGGAUCAGGGAACGGCGGCCACAGACUGAAAGCUGCCUGCAUGAUGACACAAUGAAGUUCACCUCGCGAGCAGCACAGAAGAAAAUCUGUGCCGGUGACAAGCCGUUAUUUGAAUUGAGUGAUUGCUUCGGCAAUAACUAGGGUGGUACCGCGAUAUCCUCGUCCCUUUU
rnacentral:ncRNA from 1 species